rnacentral:rRNA from 1 species
GAGCGGCGGACGGGUGAGUAACACGUGGGUAACCUGCCCAAGAGACUGGGAUAACACCUGGAAACAGAUGCUAAUACCGGAUAGGACGAAAGUUUAAAGAUGCUUCUGGCAUCACUGAUGGAUGAGCCUGCGGCGCAUUAGCUAGUUGGUGGGGUAAAGGCCCACCAAGGCGACGAUCAGUAGCCGGCCUGAGAGGGUGGACGGCCACAUUGGGACUGAGACACGGCCCAAACUCCUACGGGAGGCAGCAGUGGGGAAUAUUGCACAAUGGGGGAAACCCUGAUGCAGCGACGCCGCGUGAGCGAAGAAGUAUUUCGGUAUGUAAAGCUCUAUCAGCAGGGAAGAAAAUGACAGUACCUGACUAAGAAGCCCCGGCUAACUACGUGCCAGCAGCCGCGGUAAUACGUAGGGGGCAAGCGUUAUCCGGAUUCACUGGGCGUAAAGGGAGCGCAGGCGGCACGGCAAGUCUGGUGUGAAAACCCGGGGCUCAACCCCGGGACUGCAUUGGAAACUGCCGGGCUGGAGUGUCGGAGGGGUAAGCGGAAUUCCUAGUGUAGCGGUGAAAUGCGUAGAUAUUAGGAGGAACACCAGUGGCGAAGGCGGCUUACUGGACGAUGACUGACGCUGAGGCUCGAAAGCGUGNGGAGCAAACAGGAUUAGAUACCCUGGNAGU